rnacentral:rRNA from 1 species
GAUGAACGCUGGCGGCGUGCCUAACACAUGCAAGUCGAACGACCAGACGAGGACCUUGCUCUGCUGACGUUAGCGGCGGGCGGGUGAGUUACACGUGGAUAACCCACCUAUAAGACUGGGAUAACUCCGGGACACCGGUGCUAAUACCGGAGAAUAUAUUGAACCGCAUGGUUCAAUAGUGAAAGACGGCUUUGGUGUUAGUUAUAGACGGAUUCGCGCCGGAUUAGCUAGUUGGUGGGGUAACGGCUUACCAAGGCAACGAUCGGUAGCCGGCCUGAGAGGGGGACCGGCAACACUGGAACUGAGACACGGCCCAGACCCCUACGGGAGGCAGCAGUGGGGAAUUUUCGACAAUGGGCGAAAGCCUGAUGAAGCAAGGCGGCGUGGGUGAAGAAGGCCUCCGGGUGGUAAAGCCCUUUUGUAGGGAAAGAAAAACUUGGAACUAACACGGCCGGGGUUUGACGGUACCGAAAGAAAAAGCACCGGCUAACUCCGUG